rnacentral:rRNA from 1 species
UACGUAGGGUCCGAGCGUUGUCCGGAAUUAUUGGGCGUAAAGGGCUCGUAGGCGGUUCGUCACGUCGGGAGUGAAACUCGGAGCUUAACUCCGAGCCUGCUUCCGAUACGGGCAGACUAGAGGUAGGCAGGGGAGAGCGGAACUCCUGGUGUAGCGGUGGAAUGCGCAGAUAUCAGGAAGAACACCCGUGGCGAAGGCGGUUCUCUGGGACGGUACUGACGCUGAGACGCGAAAGCGUGGGGAGCGAACAGG